UUUCUAAGGAACUUGUUUUUAAAUAAAAAUGAAGGUUUUAGAUUUUUAAAUCAUUAAUAGCUAUGUAGGUUCUGGUCUGGAUUUCACUUUCAAUCAAAUCGAAAUCGAAAUUGAAAAACAAAGUUUGGAACACCUAAAACAAAUGUAAUCGUUUGACAUUUGAUUUCUAGAACCUGGAAGUAUGUAAGUCUUUGAAAGCGAACAUUUCAAAAGGCAUACCUGGAGUUUGAAGGACCUUUGGGAAGUUAUUGUAAUGGGUCCGAUUGGUCAAAUUGAAAAUUUUGAAAUUUCUCGACGUUUCAAGGUCCCUAAAGUCGAAAUAAAAGAUUUUUAAAAAGAUGUCUGUGCGUGC